rnacentral:rRNA from 1 species
GAAUGCUGACAUAAGUAACGAUAAAGCGGGUGAAAAGCCCGCUCGCCGGAAGACCAAGGGUUCCUGUCCAACGUUAAUCGGGGCAGGGUGAGUCGACCCCUAAGGCGAGGCCGAAAGGCGUAGUCGAUGGGAAACGGGUUAAUAUUCCCGUACUUGGUGUUACUGCGAAGGGGGGACGGAGAAGGCUAUGUUGGCCGGGCGACGGUUGUCCCGGUUUAAGCGUGUAGGUGUGUGUUCCAGGUAAAUCCGGUUCACUUUAACACUGAGGCGUGACGACGAGGCACUACGGUGCUGAAGCAACAAAUGCCCUGCUUCCAGGAAAAGCCUCUAAGCAUCAGGUAACAUCAAAUCGUACCCCAAACCGACACAGGUGGUCAGGUAGAGAAUACCAAGGCGCUUGAGAGAACUCGGGUGAAGGAACUAGGCAAAAUGGUGCCGUAACUUCGGGAGAAGGCACGCUGACACGUAGGUGAAGUGAUUUACUCAUGGAGCUGAAGUCAGUCGAAGAUACCAGCUGGCUGCAACUGUUUAUUAAAAACACAGCACUGUGCAAACACGAAAGUGGACGUAUACGGUGUGACGCCUGCCCGGUGCCGGAAGGUUAAUUGAUGGGGUCAGCGCAAGCGAAGCUCCUGAUCGAAGCCCCGGUAAACGGCGGCCGUAACUAUAACGGUCCUAAGGUAGCGAAAUUCCUUGUCGGGUAAGUUCCGACCUGCACGAAUGGCGUAAUGAUGGCCAGGCUGUCUCCACCCGAGACUCAGUGAAAUUGAACUCGCUGUGAAGAUGCAGUGUACCCGCGGCAAGACGGAAAGACCCCGUGAACCUUUACUAUAGCUUGACACUGAACAUUGAGCCUUGAUGUGUAGGAUAGGUGGGAGGCUUUGAAGUGUGGACGCCAGUCUGCAUGGAGCCGACCUUGAAAUACCACCCUUUAAUGUUUGAUGUUCUAACGUGGACCCGUUACCCGGGUUGCGGACAGUGUCUGGUGGGUAGUUUGACUGGGGCGGUCUCCUCCUAAAGAGUAACGGAG